rnacentral:rRNA from 1 species
AGUACGUGAAACCGUUCAGGGGUAAACCUGAGAAACCCGAAAGUUCGAAUGGGAAGAUUCAUUCGCGUUCCGUACAGUCGGCGUGAGAUGUCUGUGUGACGGCGGCGUUCGCGCCGUCCGCGCCUUUCGUCUUACGAGCCGAUCACGGACGCGUGCACUUCUACCCUAGUAGGACGUCGCGAUCCGUUGAGUGCCGGUCUACGGCCCGCUGUGAAGCCCGAUAGCGCGGUAAAACGUCGCUAACGGACACGCGGAUAACCGACCGGCUCGCUCGACGGUGUACAGAUGGCGGGAGGCCGCGACUUCAGUUCGCGUCCGGUCCGCGGCAAGCACGUCAGUAACGCGUCGACGAUCGGACCUGGUGCCGAUCUCGGCCGCUGGCGGCUGUUCGCCGUGGUAUUCUCGGACAGACCUCUUAGAAACGCCGAUCUGCGACGCUAUAGCUUUGGGUACUUUCAGGACCCGUCUUGAAACACGGACCAAGGAGUCUAGCGUGUGCGCGAGUCAUUGGGAUACAACUAAACCUAAAGGCGCAAUGAAAGUGAAUGUUCGCUUCGCGCGAACGAAGGGAAGACGGCCGACCUUAACGGGUCGACCAGCACUCCCGGGGCGUCUCGUUCUCAUCGCGAGAGGAGGCGCACCAUGAGCGUACACGCUGGGACCCGAAAGAUGGUGAACUAUGCCUGGUCAGGACGAAGUCAGGGGAAACCCUGAUGGAGGUCCGUAGCGAUUCUGACGUGCAAAUCGAUCGUCGGAACUGGGUAUAGGGGCGAAAGACUAAUCGAACCAUCUAGUAGCUGGUUCCCUCUGAAGUUUCCCUCAGGAUAGCUGGCGCUCGUUGCGUACGAGUCUCAUCCGGUAAAGCGAAUGAUUAGAGGCAUUGGGGUCGAAACGACCUCAACCUAUUCUCAAACUUUAAAUGGGUGAGAUCUCCGGCUUGCUCGAACGUGAAGCCGCGAGACUACGGAUCAGAGUGCCAAGUGGGCCAUUUUUGGUAAGCAGAACUGGCGCUGUGGA